GCCGGGAUGGCGGAACAGGUAGACGCGCCUGACUCAAACUCAGGUGGUGGCAACAUCGUGUGGGUUCAAGUCCCUCUCCCGGCA
rnacentral:tRNA from 1 species